rnacentral:rRNA from 1 species
UACGGAGGAUCCAAGCGUUAUCCGGAAUCAUUGGGUUUAAAGGGUCCGUAGGCGGUCUUGUAAGUCAGUGGUGAAAGCCCAUCGCUCAACGGUGGAACGGCCAUUGAUACUGCUAGACUUGAAUUAUUAGGAAGUAACUAGAAUAUGUAGUGUAGCGGUGAAAUGCUUAGAGAUUACAUGGAAUACCAAUUGCGAAGGCAGGUUACUACUAAUGGAUUGACGCUGAUGGACGAAAGCGUGGGUAGCGAACAGG